GGAUUAGAUACCCUGGUAGUCCACGCCGUAAACGAUGUCAACUAGCCGUUGGGCCUAUUAAAAGGUUUAGUGGCGCAGCUAACGCGAUAAGUUGACCGCCUGGGGAGUACGGUCGCAAGACUAAAACUCAAAUGAAUUGACGGGGGCCCGCACAAGCGGUGGAGCAUGUGGUUUAAUUCGAUGCAACGCGAAGAACCUUACCAUCCCUUGACAUCCUCAGAACUUGUAAGAGAUUACUUGGUGCCUUCGGGAACUGAGUGACAGGUGCUGCAUGGCUGUCGUCAGCUCGUGCUG
rnacentral:rRNA from 1 species